UACGUAGGGCGCAAGCGUUGUCCGGAAUUAUUGGGCGUAAAGAGCUCGUAGGCGGUCCGUCACGUCUGCUGUGAAAACCCGGGGCUUAACCCCGGGCUUGCAGUGGAUACGGGCAGACUAGAGGCAGGUAGGGGAGAAUGGAAUUCCCGGUGUAGCGGUGAAAUGCGCAGAUAUCGGGAGGAACACCGGUGGCGAAGGCGGUUCUCUGGGCCUGACCUGACGCUGAGGAGCGAAAGCGUGGGGAGCGAACAGG
rnacentral:rRNA from 1 species